rnacentral:misc_RNA from 1 species
GAAAUGCGAUAAGUAGUGUGAAUUGCAGAAUUCAGUGAAUCAUCGAAUCUUUGAACACACAUUGCGCCCCUUGGUAUUCCAUGGGGCAUGCCUGUUCGAGCGUCAUUUGUACCCUCAAGCUCUGCUUGGUGUUGGGUGUUUGUCCCCGUCUCCGCGCGUGGACUCGCCCCAAAGUGAUUGGCAGCCGGCGUACUGGUCCCGGAGCGCAGCACAUGUCGCGCAAACGAGUGCCUUGGUACGGCGGCGUCCAUAAGCCCCUCUCUCACGCUCUUGACCUCGGAUCAGGUAGGGAUACCCGCUGAACUUAAGC